CUGACCGACGCGUCCGGGUCAAUUGCGGACUGCAACACCCUAUCUCCCUUCCCGUCCCGCCGUCGAUGGUGGUCGAGAAGGGCGAACGCGUCACUGUCAG
rnacentral:ncRNA from 1 species